ensembl:lncRNA
UUGUCCAGCAGAGGAAACAAAACGAAAGGAGAGGUUUCUCUCUAAAAGGGGAGUGGUCUCCUGUCUGCACUUUAUAAACUCUCGUCCUCGGCGUAUGGUCGCAUUCUGUGUCUGGACUGGAUUUAAACAUCAUCUCUUUGCGGGAUCUUUUUGGUUUUUUGUGCAGAAAUGUAACGAGUGAGAAACCGACGUUGGAUAAGGUUAUUGGAUGUUUUAUUAAGUGAAGCAAAACUUUUGAUCCAACAUCAUGUUUUCUUCAGUUCAGGUAAAUUAUUCAGUAAAUUCUGCAUUGAUGUUUAUACGUUCAUGAUGUUUUUAACUAAAUCAUAACUUAAUGUCACUGUUUGUUUUAGUGCGAGUCUUUGUCCAUAUUUGUUUGAAGACUGUAGAAAUAUGUAAACAAAGAAAAGCAACAAUCUUAUAGUGAUUUUUUUUUUUACUUUUGAUUAUGAACCUUUUAGUAUUUGAUCUACAACUUUUGAUGAAUUCUUCACAUGCACCAGUGUCAUAUUUAUUAAAAAUGAGUUGUUCUGCUUUCAGAGUUAAUCUGUAUCAACGAAGGCUGCAACUUUCACUGAUCCUGAAACUAUGACUCUAAAACAUAAAUUAUUAUUGUAGCUAAGAUCUGUUCACAUCACAUCAAGUUUAUUGUUGUGAUAUUUCGUUUUUUCUUAACUACAACUUAAACCAAACAGUUAUGUCUUAUUCCAGUUAUUUCUGUCUGCUCCUAAUGUGCAAGAGGAGAAAACUGAAUGAGAAUUAAAGUGAUGCACAUCAUAUGACACCACAGUGAAAAUGUCAGUGUGGACAGCUGGUCUUUUACUGAUGGUAACUGUGGUCUUCUGUCCUUCAAGAGGUCAGACUCUGUUCACUGUCAGUGGACCUCAGGACGUCUACCAGGCAGAGGAGCACAGUAACAUCACACUAACAUGGCUGUUCUCUGUCACUGCUGACAUGUCUGACUCCCUGUACAUAAAAGUCAGGUGUGAGAAACCAUUCAGAUCAGUUUACAGAUAUAACAGUAGAUCUAAAGCUGAGCCAUAUCAGGAUGAGUUCUACAGAGGACGAGUGCUGUGUGAUCCAGAGCUCGCUAGAAAAGGACGAAUUGAAUGUGUCUUUACUGAUCUGAGACUGAACGACACAGGAACGUAUCGGUGUGUUGUUGAGAUGAACAGAAACAGGAGCUCUAAACUAUGUCACCUCAAUGUUACAGGUAAGUUAACAUCACUGUUCCUUUGUUAUUUACAGACACAGUAACUGAGUAGUAAACAAUAAAUUAACUUAAUUUAACUUAACUUAACUUUAAUUAAAUACUAAACUAAAUAACUCUAUAGCUACUGUAUUAUGGUCUUGAAGCUGUUCUUAUCAUGUGCAACAAUUUAAAACCAACACUCCCCAUCACAGGUGUCCAACCUGUAAGUGAGACAUUAGAGACAAAGCCAGAAAGAAGAAGAAUCGGACUCUAUUCAGGUUUUGUUUUAUUUACUCUGGUGGUAUUUUCACUAACGAUCUGUUAUUUCACUGUGUGCAGAGAGACCUCAGUAUUAAAUGUGGACGUCUCUCAGCCUGUUGGACCAAAAGAGAUUGUUGACUGAUUUCAGUCAUUUUUUAACCUCUUGCACUUUCUACCCAGUUAUUACAGAUCAUUACCUCAUGUAUUUGUUUUUGUAAUGAUGCUGUUUGUUAUAUCUGACCUGUUGUCCUCCUAUGAACUGUACCACAGAGCAGUGCAGAUACAUGCUGUUACCUCCUCAAAGUAAAGUCAGAAAACGCUUUUUCAAAGGAGCUGUUGUAACAGCUUGUUUACAUAAAUUCAUUUUAAUCACUUUAUUCUCUGAAAAAAAGGAAAGUUGUUAAAAUAAUCUAUAUUAGCUACGUCUGUUUUUACAAAUGUACUUUACGCUGUAAAUGUUCUCUGUGACUCUGAGGGAAUGAAGGAUCCAGAAUAGUUGGAGCUAUGUUGGAUAAAAUGUCGUCAUAUCAGCUGCUGCUUUGUAUUCAAAAUGUGUGUUUUUCAGUUUCCUGUGAGUUCAGUGUUUUCACCAGAUAUUAACAAUUUAAAAUCACAUAUGUAGUAGUAGAGUUUGAUAUGAUGAGUCAGUUUUGCUUCUGGUAUAUCCCAGUGGUUGUAUACUGUACUUUGACACCUUCAUAGAAAUAGACACUGACGAACUGCUGGAUAAUUGUGACACCAACGAAGGUGACGACAGCUGUAACUGGUUUAUACUUGAACAUAGUUUAAUAUCUGUGGUUGAAUCAGGUUAUAAAGUCAGAACUCUACUUGAUAAUGAAAGUUAGUGUCAGUGUGACAACAUGUUUCCUCCAUAUUCACUUCAAUAUAAACUGUUUGUUGUUUAAUGAGACAGAGUUAAACAUGAGGUCCAGUCCUUCUUACUGACAAAGCUGGAGAGGUCACUUUGAAUUAGCACUGGUAUUAAUCUAACUUAUAAUUUAAUGGAAUCAAAGGUCAUAAUAUUUUUAGUUGCUGUUUCUCAGGUACACAUCUUUUCAUGUUAAGUGAUUAAAAUAAAAGCUCAAAAAGCACAAACAGACUCAAUUUGAGGUGAAUAAAUCUGUUUUGGAGAUGAUGGUGUGAGCUGACUACAGGACUUUAAAAAACUAAUCAGUCACAAAGAUGCAGCAUCAUGGGAGUGAGUCGAGUUCCUGUAGGAAAAGUUUCUAAAACUGUGUUUGUGACUGUAGAUUUUAUACUUGCACUUUGUGUGGACUGUUUCCCAACUCUGUACUUCCCUAGAUCAGAUUUUCAGCCUAUAACGUACAAUAACUGCUUCAAUGUUGAACCAAAAGCAAGAAGUUACACUAACCAUAAUGCUGCCUCCUCUCAUUUAGAUAGUUCCUCAUUUUUUACAUGUGAUUCCUUCUUGUGCAUUAGGCAACAUUUGUCUUUACUAUUUUGAGUCUGUUAUUGCGUUUCCCAUAUGAACUAAACAAUCAAUGUGACCACAACAACCUGUAACUGGAUAUGUAUUAUUAGUAUUAGUAUUAUUACUAUGUUUUUUCUGACCAGUCUUGUUUGACAUAAGCUGCAUCAGUGCAGUUGGCUGAGUUCCCAGUUCUGAACCUUUGACCUUCAGAGGACAAACAGUUAAGAUAAGAUAAGAUAAGAUAAGAUAAGAUAAGAUAAGAUAAGAUAAGAUAAGAUAAGAUAAGAUAAGAUAAGAUAAGGCUUUAUUGUCAUUGUACAGUCACACUUGGUACAACAGUACAACGAAAUUGCAAACUG